ensembl:lncRNA
UACAGGCCUGAGCCUGCAUCGCAAAUGGCAGGAGACAGGCAGGUGAGGCGCGUCUCAGCUCAGGUGCGGCUGCAGUGCGGCGAAAUGGGCACAGGGGGGCAGUGUGGCCCCGUGUGGCUCUGCAGCCCUCUACCGCGGAAGGAGGCCUGGCCGGGGCUGGCACCCAGGCUCCAGCAGAGCCCCGGCCUGGUGAGGGGCUGUCCGGCCACCUUCCUCCCCUCCCAGCUCAGGCCCUGUCCUACAGAACCUGGCUCUCGGGGGAGUAAAGUUCCUGCAACAUUUACUGAGUGUGAAUUUUCUCAUGGCAAACACUGUCCUGGGUUAUUUCGUUUGAUCUUCACACCAAUCCGAGGCAGGCAUGUUAUUCCCCUUCUAGAAAGAGGAAGCCGCAGCUCAGGGAAGCUGAUGAACUUCCUGGCAGGUGGCAGGGCCACGACUGAGACUCAAGUCUGUCUGACUCCAAGCCAAGUCGUCUUCACGUUCAGCCACUGCUCCUUUAUACAGCAUCUUGGAAAAUAAAGAAAAAUCUGUUCCUUAUUCUCUGGUCGCCAUCCAGACUGAAGAUGCCGCAUCACCCUCACUGAGUCAUCACCUCUGCUUUCAAAGCCUCGUUCCUUCCUCCUGGCUCUUCCGGGGACUCACACAAACCUUGGGACUGGAAGGGACCUGAGAAGUUUUCUGAGCCCGCCGUGGCUUGGGUCUCCCUGGAUGGCCUACAUUUUUAGGCGAUCUCUGCAUGACCCUCUCUCUCCUUCUGAGGUAUAAGAUUGACGACGAUCAAGAACGAGCUCCCUUCAGUUUCAGAGACUUUAAGGAAAACUAUACAGAAAGGAGCUCUUUUGUAAAGGAUCAGAAGAAGAGAAAACGAUAGGGGUUUGUUUCUUGCUGGCCUGCCCUCUUCCUCACACGUCUCUGUUCCUGCAUGAAGCAGCACUGUGUGGACAAAUGCCAGGGCGGUCAUCCACAGAUCUGGAGUUGGCUGUCCCUCGUGGAUGGGGCCCAGAGGCUCCCACCUGCAGCACUGACGGCCAUUGGGGUCCUUUCCACAGAACCACUGAGGGUCUGUCUCAUCUGUGGGCUCGUAAGGUGAAAUCAACUGAGAAGUUUUUCUGCAGCAUCGGUGAGACCAUCUGGUGCUGGUUUGAAUACAGAUAACAGAAAUCAGGACUUUGAACCUUUAUCAUCUACAAAACCCCAAAGAAGACAUUGGUGAGCCUGAAAUGGGAGUUGGAGAGAAGACAGAUUAUAACAUUAUUUAGCAGCAUGUGGGCCACCAGCACAGCACGACUGCUAAGAGUGGUGUAGGUCGAUGCCUGGGAACUGAAUCCAGGCCACCAAAGCGGAGCACACUGAACUUAACCACUAGGCCCCAUUGCGGCUGGCCCCAAGAUAACUGUUAUUUUUAACUGAAUUUUGUUGCCAAACAAAGAAUGAUGCUUCUUUUCUCUGGGAUGAACAUAAAUCAACAUAAACCAAAAUUGUAUUUUUCUGCAGAGAUUAUGCUAUAAACUGGUAGAAAAGUCAACUGUCAGCUUACACUACUCACCAGGAGGGCAGCAUGAGCCCUGAGAAGGGGUGAAAGCACAGGUCCCUCGUGAACGUCCCCAUCAGGGCACGACAGGUCCUGCAUACCAUGUGCCCACGGGACAGCAUGCAGGCACAACUCCUAAUUAGCAAGGACCCAUUUCCAUGUUAGUUCAAAAAAUUUUGGUGAAGUUGAUAAUUCUAAUGCUUUUAAAAUUCCUUUCAAGAAUGUAUUUUUCUUUGCUGGAAUAACCUAAAUAAAUAUUUUAAUAAAUUAGAUUUAAUGGAAUGAAGAAUUGUGAACAAAACGAAGAUAGAGUUGUCUCUGGGGAACAGAUAACAAUUAGAGAAACUUUUGAAUAAAAUAAAGUGAUAGUUUAAAAUGAGGUGAGGUGAGAAGAGCCUGAACACAUGAAGAAUGACUGAUUUUAAUUGGCUGUAGAGUGCUUUGCCUGGUCUCUUUAAAAAAGAGACAAAAUCUAAGUCUUAAAAUGUUCAAACAAAACAAAAACUCAAAAAUGUAUUUAAAGGCUUGAACCCGGGCCUCUGUAUACGAAAGGGGUGUUUGUAGCAAGCUAGUAAAACCAAGGAAGUUUUGACCUAGAUUAUUCCUUCCCCUCAUCCAUUCACUAAGUCAACAAAUCUUUCUCGAGCACCUGGGCAAGGCCAUCAAACCCUUGGCAACACAGAGCAUAAUCUAUUGGUGCAUGUCCACACAUGCUGAGUUCCUCCCGCGCAGACUUGCCAAGGCCAGUGGUUUCCACUGUGCUCCCUUUGAGGCCCACCCACCUCCUCACUGCGCUCCUGCUGCCUCCUGGUCCCCUCCCUCAUUCACUGAGUACUUUGGCACCUGAUUUAGCUUUCCUCUCCAG